UACGUAGGGGGCGAGCGUUGUCCGGAUUUAUUGGGCGUAAAGCGCGGGCAGGCGGCCCCGUAAGUCGGCCGUGAAAGCGCCGGGCUCAACUCGGCGAGGACGGGCGAGACUGCGAGGCUCGAGCAAGGCAGAGGGCGGUGGAAUUCCGGGUGUAGUGGUGGAAUGCGUAGAGCUCCGGAGGAACACCAGUGGCGAAGGCGGCCGCCUGGGCCUUUGCUGACGCUGAGGCGCGAAGGCGUGGGGAGCGAACGGG
rnacentral:rRNA from 1 species